GAAGUGCGAUAAGUGUCAUGACUUGCAGAUCCCCGAGAGCUGACAAAUCUCUGAAUGCAAAUGGCGGCCAACUUCCGUUGGUCAUGUAUUGCAGAGUGUAGUAGUUCACACUCAUCAUCCUCCCUCACGCUCUUUCACGUGUGUGCUGUGGAGGGAUCUGCGCUUGUGUUACUGACGCGAGCGUGAAAAGUCAGAGUGGAGCCCUCGCAAGAGGGUUCCAACUUCGGAGUACCCUAAUACUAAGAAGUUCUCAUCUAGACUCUGUCAUUUUCGUAUUCACCUCUGCAAUGCAGGAAAACCCGCUGAACUUAA
rnacentral:misc_RNA from 1 species